UACGAAGGGGGCGAGCGUUGUUCGGAGUUACUGGGCGUAAAGGGCGCGUAGGCGGCCAAUCAAGUCAGAUGUGAAAGCCCCGGGCUUAACCUGGGAACUGCAUUUGGGACUGUAUGGCUUGAGAUCGGGAGAGGUGAGUGGAAUUCCCAGUGUAGAGGUGAAAUUCGUAGAUAUUGGGAAGAACACCGGUGGCGAAGGCGGCUCACUGGACCGAGACUGACGCUGAGGCGCGAAAGCGUGGGGAGCAAACAGG
rnacentral:rRNA from 1 species